UCGACCAUUCGAUAUCUUCUUGUCAAUGCGAGAAAAACACCCACGGAGUGGUCAAAUGUCACGUGCCUACACAAUCCUAAAACGAACUGUGUCAUGUUUAAGAAUGAACAAAUCUUUUCUGCGUACCUGUGUGUUUAUAUUAGUUAUCAGUUUACAACGAAAUCUCAGUUUUGUUGAGUAUAAGUAGCAUUCUGAAGUGUGCUGCAUUCAGUUCUGCUUUUUGCUGUGAUCGAAAUGGACAGCCACCAAUUCGAAGGAAUACACGUUUUGGAAGUGGGUCAGCAUUGAGCAGGCACAAUACGCUCAAAAUCGAUUUUUUAAUCCGUUCGACAUUAACAUCAACCCAACGGACGCACAGCUCUUUCGCUUAUCAAAGUCUCGCAUGCCGCUGAUCCUCCACACCAUGAUGGACCAGUUAGUAUGGACGCUCGCCUUUAGGCUCCUGCAUGAUAGACUUGUUAACGUUAACGGCUAACAUAUUACAGUGCCACGUGCUCAAUCGACCGAUAACGAGCGUACACAAAUUAUGUUGUUUCCAUCCGCACCUGACAUCCACCGACCGUAUUGUUUUCGUAUUUCAUCAAAAGUGAGUUCCUUCCGAACUUCCCAAACAGCACCAAUUCGUCGUCUAUCAAUGGAUGUCACAGAACCGCGUGCAAAAUGAGGAUAUAAUCAAAAUUUAUUGCCAAGCUCAUAAAUUGCCACCCAUCGUCUAAACGGGGCGACCUCCGCCACGCCGGAAGACAGAGCCUAGGCAAAACAAAAUUCGGCAACUAGCUAAAUAUGAACCUCGCACGAAACGUGCGAGCCAAAGAAAUAUGAAUAAACAUAAAUCUCGGUCAAAUCAAUAGGAACGUGCCAGAAUAGUGCGCGGUGGCGCCUGAUGAAUUGAAAGGAGAGUAGAGAAGAGAAAGAAAAAAAA